rnacentral:misc_RNA from 1 species
AAACUGCGAUAAGUAGUGUGAAUUACAUUUAGUGAAUCAUCGAAUCUUUGAACGCACCUUGCACUCACUGGUAUUCCGGUGAGUACGCCUGUUUCAGUAUCAUUGAAAACACACAAUCAAAACAUUUUCUUUGGUUUGAUUGGCUUUGGGUCUAUCAAAAAGUUUGGCUUGUUUCUUACAAGCCAAGCGGCCUGAAAUAUAUUGUCUGGCUAAUUGCAUCGUUGAUGAUCGCUAUUAGACUUUGGCUUUUUUAAAUGAACUGGAGGUUGAUUAACCAGUUUUAGCUUUAGUCAAAUGGUCAUUGUAAAAAAAAUCUCGAUCUUGGCUAGGUGUUUAUAGCCGAAAAUUUUUUUUUGGCUAUAACCGAAACCAAUAUAAUCACAUUUAGUUAUCGAUCUGAAAUCAGGUGGGACUACCCGCUGAACUUAAGC